rnacentral:rRNA from 1 species
CCUACGGGUGGCAGCAGUGAGGAAUAUUGGUCAAUGGACGAGAGUCUGAACCAGCCACGUAGCGUGAAGGAUGACUGCCCUAUGGGUUGUAAACUUCUUUUAUAAAGGAAUAAAACGAGGCACGUGUGCCUUUUUGCAUUUACUUUAUGCAUAAUGAUCGGCUAACUCCGUGCCAGCAGCCGCGGUAAUACGGAGGAUCCGAGAGUUAUCCGGAUUUAUUGGGUUUAAAGGGAGCGUAGAUGGGGUGGUAAGUGAGUUGGGAAAGUUUCGGGCUCAACCGUAAGAAUGCAAGUGAUACUGGCAGACUUGAGGUAAGUAGAGGGAGGCGGAAUUCGAGGGGUAGCGGUGAAAUGCUUAGAAAUCAGGAAGAACACCGAAGGCGAAGGCAGCUUA